rnacentral:rRNA from 1 species
GAUGAACGCUGGCGGCGUGCCUAAUACAUGCAAGUCGAGCGAACGGACGAGGAGCUUGCUGGUCUGAUGUUAGCGGCGGACGGGUGAGUAACACGUGGAUAACCUACCUAUAAGACGGGGAUAACUUCGGGAAACCGGAGCUAAUACCGGAUAAUAUUUUGAACCGCAUGGGUCAAUAGUGAGAGACGGUCUUGCUGUCACUUAUAGAUGGAUCCGCGCUGCAUUAGCUAGUUGGUAAGGUAACGGCUUACCAAGGCAACGAUGCAUAGCCGACCUGAGAGGGUGAUCGGCCACACUGGAACUGAGACACGGUCCAGACUCCUACGGGAGGCAGCAGUAGGGAAUCUUCCGCAAAGGGCGAAAGCCUGACGGAGCAACGCCGAGUGAGUGAUGAAGGUCUUCGGAUCGUAAAACUCUGUUAUUAGGGAAGAACAUAUGUGUAAGUAACUGUGCACAUCUUGACGGUACCUAAUAAGAAAGCCACGGCUAACUACGUG